rnacentral:rRNA from 1 species
GUGUCAGCAGCCGCGGUAAGACGAACCGUGCGAACGUUGUUCGGAUUCACUGGGCUUAAAGGGCGCGUAGGCGGCUCCUCAAGUCGGGGGUGAAAUCCUCUCGCUUAACGAGAGAAUUGCCUCCGAUACUGGGGAGCUGGAGGGGGAUAGGGGUGCGCGGAACUUCCGGUGGAGCGGUGAAAUGCGUAGAUAUCGGAAGGAACGCCGGUGGCGAAAGCGGCGCACUGGAUCCCCACUGACGCUGAGGCGCGAAAGCCAGGGGAGCAAACGGGAUUAGAUACCCCCGUAGUCC